GUAGCGAAAUUCCUUGUCGGGUAAGUUCCGACCUGCACGAAUGGCGUAACGAUGGCCACACUGUCUCCUCCAGAGACUCAGCGAAGUUGAAAUGUUUGUGAUGAUGCAAUCUCCCCGCGGAAAGACGGAAAGACCCCAUGAACCUUUACUGUAGCUUUGUAUUGGACUUUGAACAGAUCUGUGUAGGAUAGGUGGGAGGCUUUGAAGUGCGGUCGCUAGAUCGCAUGGAGCCAACGUUGAAAUACCACCCUGGUGUGUUUGAGGUUCUAACCUAGGCCCAUUAUCUGGGUCGGGGACAGUGCAUGGUAGGCAGUUUGACUGGGGCGGUCUCCUCCCAAAGUGUAACGGAGGAGUUCGAAGGUACGCUAGUUACGGUCGGACAUCGUGACGAUAGUGCAAUGGCAUAAGCGUGCUUAACUGCGAGACUGACAAGUCGAGCAGAUGCGAAAGCAGGACAUAGUGAUCCGGUGGUUCUGUAUGGAAGGGCCAUCGCUCAACGGAUAAAAGGUACUCCGGGGAUAACAGGCUGAUACCGCCCAAGAGUUCAUAUCGACGGCGGUGUUUGGCACCUCGAUGUCGGCUCAUCACAUCCUGGGGCUGUAGCCGGUCCCAAGGGUAUGGCUGUUCGCCAUUUAAAGAGGUACGCGAGCUGGGUUUAGAACGUCGUGAGACAGUUCGGUCCCUAUCCGCUGCGCGCGUAGGAAAUUUGAGAGGAUCUGACCCUAGUACGAGAGGACCGGGUUGGACGAACCUCUGGUGUGCCAGUUGUUCUGCCAAGAGCACCGCUGGUUAGCUACGUUCGGGAUGGAUAACCGCUGAAAGCAUCUAAGCGGGAAGCCGGCCUCAAGAUGAGAUUUCCAUGCCUUCGGGCGAGAGGCUCCCAGCCAGACUACUGGGUUGAUAGGCCGGAUGUGGAAGCGCGGUAACGCGUGAAGCUGACCGGUACUAAUAGGCCGAUGACUUG
rnacentral:rRNA from 1 species